rnacentral:lncRNA from 12 species
CCCUAAUGUUGAUUGUCUGAUUACUUAUUGCAAAAAAGUCUUUCUCAGGGAAUAAUACUAUGCUCCUCUUUUAGCAUUUAAUGGAAUAAAUAUUACUACUGAAUAUUUCCUGGCUUUUCCCUCCUCUGCCUGCUAAAGAGGGUUCUGCUUGGGCCUGAUGAUUAUUUCCUCCUCUUUCCUCCCUGAAGAAAGUCCUACCUUGCCAGACUCCUUGGACCUCGGUGGCAAUUCAGGAGUAAAUGGUCAACCUUUCUAUGAAUUGAGAAGAACAAGUGAAUGAUGUGUCAAUACAUCAGAGAGGAUCAAGAUGGAACAUAUCACCUUGGGGUGCUUAUUGAAGUGAGCUGUUUGCAUUGUUUCUGACUCUGGCAGGAAAAAUGAAAUGGGAUUACUUCCUAAAUAAACUCUGCUACGGAAACA